AUGCAGCAGAACUACACUGAACCCAGAGCAGCUAAGGGGAUGGGAAGACCUGAGUCAUUUGAUGGGAGGGAUGAAGAGGACAUGGAGCUCACAGAGUGGGAAACUGCGGAGAGGGGAGGUCGACCCCUGGCGAGGGGCUGGCGAUGGGUAGAGGCUUCCCGGAGAAGGGGCCCGCGGCCUCUCACCUGCCGGGUGGCCGCAGCGCCGCCCCUCCUCCUCCAUCUCGCAGUCCCGACCCCAGCUCCGCCUGCCGCUCUGGAUGAUGCAGGACUGGAGGCAUCAUCGCCAUCGCCGCCGCCUCCGCGCAUCCCGGGAGCCGCGGCGAGACGCGGGCGCAGAGGCGCAGUCACGGAGACGCCGAGGGCACCGCCCCCUCCGCCGGACACCCGGGCCUGGCGCCCCGCCUGCGUCCCGCACCCUCAGCGCCUCCGCCGCCGGCCUCCGGGCCCGGAGCCCAGAGCCCGGCCACUCACCGCUGCCGCCGCACAACGCGCGCCUGAGCCAGGUUUUUCAGGCCCACGGUUUUGCGGUUUGAGAAACCCGGGCUCCCCAAAGUAGCCAAAAGAUGAGACGCAGAGCAAGGUGGAGUGGAAAGGAGGGCAAAGACAGGGGUAUCGAUGGCAGUCUUUGGGGGCCUCCCCGACUGCUUCCCCUGCCCGCCGCCCACCUCCUCCCCAUUCCCCGCGCUUUCAAGUCGGCCUGCCUAGCUCUUCACUUAGGCUGCCGCUAAUAUUUUUCCUCAUGGAUUACGUUGGCGGCGGCUUCCCGUUUGGAACUUUGAGAACUAGAAUUUAUAAAUCAAGUCAUUGUAAUAAAAUUUUAAUUUACCCAAUUCGAACUUACCUAAGGUCUCGAGACUUAAGGUAUUAGAGAAUUCACUGAGGGAUCUCAGCAAGGGGAUUAAUUGGCAGGAAACAUGCAAAGUAUAAGGAAACUACCCAUGCAAACAAAACGGCCGAGCCCAGGAAUAAUGGAUAUUAAUGUAUUACUUAAUACUAUGUUGAAUGUAAAAAAUCUUACUAAGUCAUAGUGCGAUGUAUAGGCUAAUUUUAGUAAGCAAAAACACAAAACUAAAACCACCAUCCUCUCUCAUUCUUCUACAAUUCAUAUAUGUCCAAAAUAAUGAACUCCUGAGAUAGGUUUUAAUCUGAACAAUCAAGUAACAUUCCUAAGUAUGUCUGCUAUUAUGGGUACAAAAUCAAACCAGUUAAACUCUUCCCCUUCAGUAUCCAAACCUAGCUAACUAGGAUCUUACUACUUUAACCUUCUCAGGGAUGCUAUUUAGAAACAGAGAAUGCUAUUGAAAUAGCCUUUCCUUCAUUCACCCUCGUUACCAGAAAACCAAAGUUGCUUCCGUUCAGAUGAAAUACUUUGAAUGUUGCUACUGCAUUCUUCGUUUUAGCUAACAGUUUUAUCUUUUUAAAAAAGAAUUACCAAGUAUCAAAUAAUUUAAUUAAUGCAAUUUCUCUUUCUCAGUUCCCUGUGCUUUCUUUUUUUUUUUUAAUUUUUUAUUGCAUUUUAGGUUUGGGGGUACAUGUGCAGAACAUGCAAGACAGUUGCAUACGUGCACACAUGGCAUUGUGUUUUGCUUCCUUUCUCCCCUUCACCCACAUUUGGCAUUUCUCCUCAGGCU
ensembl:lncRNA